GUGAUUUUAUCUGCAGCUGAGGAGCAGGAGGCUGGAGAAACCCUUGGUGGGUUUUGAAAGGUAAAGACGGAAACACCCUUUGAGGAAUCGAAAAGACAGAAUCAGAGUUUGAGUGUUAGAGAGAUGAAGGUACAAUCUGGGAAUUCUAGUUUUGUUGAGGGUGAAGAGGAGAAGAAAGAAGAAGUUCAUGUAAAGGGAAAUCAGAAGGAAAUUGACAACAAUGGCAGCUUUGAAGGUGAAAGCUUGCUGGAAUUUGAUGGUAGAGAGAGAGGUUUUACCUGUAUCAACUUUUGAGGAAUCUAUGGUUACUUCUACAUCUCAAAUUGUAGUGGCACCACUCCUAACUUAUCAUUAUCGUCCGUGUCCAGCGCUAGUCCCAGAUGAUUCAUGUCAUACGCCAAAAUCUGCUCGUACUACGGAAUUACCUCCUUGUAGCCAACCGCUUGUACUUCAAAAAAGGUAUACGAUCCACUCAAAAUACUAACCCUCAUUAUACCUUCGUGAUUUAUCAUCAUCUAUCAUUACCACAUUAUGCCUUUGUAUCAUCUUUGCCCUCUAUUUUCAUUCCUAAGACUACAAGUGAAGCAGUUUCUCAUUCUGGAUGGAGGCAGGCUAUGGUUGAUGAGAUGUCGACUUUGCAUAAGAGUGGUACUCGGGAGCUUGUCUCUCUUAUUGCAGGUAAAUCUACUGUUGGUUGUCGUUGGGUUUAUGCAGUCAAAAUUGGUCCAGACAGUCAGGUUGUCGGCUUAAGGCUCGCCUUUUUACCAAAGGGUAUACUUAGAUGAGCAUAAUUUCUUUCAUAUCUCCUUUUUCAACAAUAGUUAAUCGAUUCGCAAUUCAUAAUUUCAGGUAUGUCCAAAAUUUAUGGAGUAAUCGAAUAAAUAACAUUAUUAAAAAAAUGAAAAUUGACUAUACAUAGUAACUUUCUUACUGUAAAAUGAAUUAUACGAACACCAAGAGCUAUUUCAAAUCCAAAUUUGUACAGUGUAAAGUAUCACUUUAUGUUUUUUUUGUUGAAAACCUAAUUUGUUUUCUUUCUUUUGUAAAAAAUGGUCUAAACCCAUCUGCGAUUUCGUUGAUAGGUGUCGAUCCAAAUUGGUGUAAACCAGCCGGAGAGAUUUAAAUUCCUCCAGAUUUGCGAGGCACAAAGUGUAUCAUUAAAGUUCUAAAUUUUUAAUUUUUAUGCUUUAAAUUUUUUUCAAUUUCAUCAGCUUUAGAAAUACUUUUCAGUUUCCUCUUCUUUAUUGAGUUGAAAUUUGUCCAUUUGUUAAUGUAAAAUUACAUAUUUGUCAUUCUUGCUUUUGAAUUUAAUUUUUUCCAUUUGUUAUUAGGUAAAAAUAUACAUACAAGGAUAUAAUUGUCAUUUUGCUUGAUAUUUAAUUUAUUUUUUAUGUAUAAAAUAUAUUAUUUUACUUGUCCAUUAAAUUCCUUCCACGUGAUUGAAUAUUAAACACACAAUUUCAAAAUAUCUUUUGUCUGAAAAUUUUCAAAAUACCUUUAAAUAAUUUUUCAUCUUCAUAUUUUCUUCUCACAGAUAGUUCAUCAUAGUUUGUGAUAUCAAGUUUAUUUAGUCCUCUCUUUUUUCAAUUCCAGUGAAUACUGAGUUGGCCAAAUUAUGACACGGAAAACAUUCUGAUGGUCAGAUUCAGACCUCUAUCUUUCCAGCUUCUGUUAUAUGAAUCUUGUGUACACAUUCACCAUUAUUAAGGUGGUGGAGAUGAUUCAUUGAAAGUGGACUAUUUUAGUGAAUCUAUCUCAAUCUGUAACCUUUAUUGGCUUGUACAUUGUUGUACUUUGUGAAGUUCAUAUAGGCAGUGAUUUUUAGGGGUGAUGCUUGAUGUCCAUGGUACAUUAUGAGAUUUCUGCAUUGCUUUAUGUUAUCUGCAUUAUGUUUUUAUCUAAGAAGUUUUUAUUCUAACCGUUUACCUCUCAUGUGUAGUUUACACAAUAGACAGAUGUUAGGAAUCAACCAUUUGCAGUUUAUACAAUAGUAGUGUUUGUAACUGAACAGUCAAGCUUAUUUUUAUUUGUGUUAGUGUGUAAUACAUGUUUUAUUUUAUUUUAUGUUGCAGCCUUAAUUGA